GAGCGCGACACUGAUAAUGUCGAGGUCCGUGGUUC
rnacentral:sRNA from 1 species